CCUUUCAUCUUCACUGCUUGUUCUUUCUUUUCUUCAUCAAGCUGAGCUCUCAUCUCACUUCUCCUCCCCAAAUCCCAUCCAAUAGCCUAAGAUCAAUCCCUGCAUGUAAGACCACAACAAUCCCUAUCAUAAAAACUUUGCAUCCAUCCCAACAUCUUGCACAUGCAUGGAGAGUUGAGAGAGAUCGAGAAGGAACAAAAGAGUGGUGGUUUCAGCCUGCAGGGCUGCAGCAGCAGCAUUUUGUUUUCCUCCAUUUGGUUGUCCACUCCAUUGCUGCAGCUAGAAGGUGGCUGCAACUCACCCCGAGUUCAUAUCUUUUGAUUUCGGUUGAAGCAGCCCUAGGCAACGUCUCUUGCCGUCAGCCCAAGACCUUGCUCCAUCUCUUGCCAUCAGCCCGAGGCCUUAGCCUCGCAUGACCCUACGUCCAGGUUGCUACCAUGUGAGCGAAGUCCGAUGGAAGUUGGAGAAAAGGGGAGUGAAAAUAGAAAUCGAUUUCAAAGAUAUCUAUUGAGCUAAAAGAGAUUCGGAGAUUCCGGAGAGUAACGAGCCAUAUCCUGAGGAGGAUAGUGACUACCCUCAGCAGCAAGGCAAGCACCUAAGCAUAUAGAACCUGUGCUUUCUCUAAAAAUGAUUUGGUUGCAAUCUAUACGUAUAUAUAUAUGCAUGUAUUGCCUAGAUAUUAAUAUUGUCGAUUUAUGGUGUAUGGGUAGAACCUAUUUAUGCAUUUAGUUCUUGUGAUAUUGCUGUCCUUAUACCCCAUUACCAUUGGUUGGGAUUGCUUGGGAUGUCUUAUUCAUUAAUGCUUAGCCAUGCUUAGUGCUAAUAGAACUAUAGUGAUAGACAGUGCUAUUAAUUGUGGUAUAUAGACAACUUGCAUUAUUGGGCAUAAAACUUGAGCACUUACACUACUAAAUAAUGGUUGAUGAAAUAUGUUGGACUUGGACGGGUGAUAGGGCAAUGAUGGGAGGUUGGUUUCCCCUGAUGCAAGUAGCCCCGUCUAGGUUGUUAAGGACUGAACAUUUUGACAUCUAAUCAAGCACCCUACGUACUUAUCACAUGCCUUAUUUUGGGACCGGCUUGUUCUUACUAGUUCUAUUGUGAUCAUUUAUACCACGUUGGAGAGUUGUGAGGCAGGUAGCCUUUGGAGGGCCUCGGGUGCCUAGGUUUGGCCGGGGGUGCCUCCCGCGUGGCGCGCCCGCCUUGGUCACAUCACGCACGCACGUGACUGAGUCGUCGGGAAGGCUAGCGUGGUAUAGGUGGUUGGGGUGGGGCUAAGAAAGGGCAUGUAAUGAGCUUGAAUCACUUGUGUACCGCAGUUGACGGGGUGUGUAGCAUUUGAUCUUUGUUCAUUUCGUGUGGGACCAGUUGUACACCUCUGAUCAGAGUAUAAUCUAUUCGAAUAGUCGCGUCCUCGGUGAUGGACAAUGCUUGAUGUGUUAGUCAGUUAUGUUAGCAUCAAAUGUGGAUUAUUAUGGAUGGGAUUAUGUUCGAUGGUGGUGUUGGCAUGUUGUGCCAUGUUGGUAUAGACUUUGGUAGUCCAUGGUUGAUGAUGAGAGCGCCGUUUGGGCUCAUUUGCUUAUACAUUUCAGAAUUAUAUACUUGCUGUCCAUAAAUUAAAAUGAUGCUAGAUUUACUUAUCCUUGCUUAUUUUACUCAUUAAUUGCUCAAUAAAAUUAGCUUUAUGCAAAUGUUGAACCUAGAGACCCACUAUAGCCUAGAAAGCUUGCAUACUUCUCUCUCCCUUAUGUAUAUAUAAUUUUGGGUAAGACUUGCGAGUACAAUCUUGUACUUAACCCGGUGUCUGCAAUUUCAAGAGAGGAUUCCGGUUAUGAGUUAUGCUUCUUGUGUGGUAAUUGCUUAGACGAGGGCGGCGAGGGCAAUGAGUGAUCUCUUGCAGCUUGGCUCUUGCCCGGUUGGUUUGCAUUAGUGGGGUUGUGGCACCACCGGUUUUAUCUUUUGCUUAUGAACUCUAUUUGAGACUUCCGCUGCUAUAUUUAUGUGUUGUAUGUUGGGACCUCGGACCCUAUUAUGUGCCAUGUACCUCGCUGCACUUUAACCCUAUUAUGGUACUUGCUAUGUUU